GACGAACGCUGGCGGCGUGCCUAACACAUGCAAGUCGAGCGGGGUUGACUUCAGCACUGAGCAUUUUGGCAUAGGGCCCAGCGCAUAUGCAGAAACGACCUUGAUGUAAAAGAUAUCAAUAAGAGGUUUCUGCAUCACGCGUAUAUAGUGCCAACACAAAACCGAAGGGUAUGAGUUGCACAUGGGUGGAUACACAGAAAACUGAGGAGCUGAAAUGUUGAGUGCUGGAGGCAACCUAGCGGCGGACGGGUGAGUAACGCGUGAGCAAUCUGCCUCAUACAGGGGGAUAACAGGUGGAAACACUUGCUAAUACCGCAUAAGACCACAGCGCUGCAUGGCGCAGGGGUCAAAGGAGUAAGAUCCGGUAUGAGAUGAGCUCGCGUCCCAUUAGCUAGUUGGCGGGGUAACGGCCCACCAAGGCGACGAUGGGUAGCCGACCUGAGAGGGUGAUCGGCCACACUGGGA
rnacentral:rRNA from 1 species